rnacentral:lncRNA from 1 species
AUACAAAUGAAAAACUAAAAAGGUCCAAAAUCAAAUCUAUGCUGCUGCUCAUCUGCAGGAUCCGAUGUCGGAUCUCCCGAUGUCGGAUCGCCGGGAGGAGUACCUGCUGGAUGUGAUGUAGCGCCAGGAGGGGUGACCAAGUUAUCAUCUGCAGCAUCGGGAUCAGGAGCUGGUAGUGGCUGCUGCUGAAACGUCGAAACAUGUCGGUCUGUAGCAGGCGCAGGAUCAGAG